rnacentral:tRNA from 2 species
GCCCGAGUGGUGAAAUUGGUAGACACGCCAUCUUGAGGGGGUGGUGUCCUAACGGACGUAGCGGUUCAAGUCCGCUCUCGGGCA